UGGGGAAUAUUGCACAAUGGGCGAAAGCCUGAUGCAGCGACGCCGCGUGAGGGAUGACGGCCUUCGGGUUGUAAACCUCUUUCAGCAGGGAAGAAGCGAAAGUGACGGUACCUGCAGAAGAAGCGCCGGCUAACUACGUGCCAGCAGCCGCGGUAAUACGUAGGGCGCAAGCGUUGUCCGGAAUUAUUGGGCGUAAAGAGCUCGUAGGCGGUUAGUCGCGUCUGCUGUGAAAACUCGAGGCUCAACCUCGGGCUUGCAGUGGGUACGGGCUGACUAGAGUGCGGUAGGGGUGACUGGAAUUCCUGGUGUAGCGGUGGAAUGCGCAGAUAUCAGGAGGAACACCGAUGGCGAAGGCAGGUCACUGGGCCGCAACUGACGCUGAGGAGCGAAAAGCAUGGGGAGCGAACAGGAUUAGAUACCCUGGUAGUCCACG
rnacentral:rRNA from 1 species